rnacentral:rRNA from 1 species
GUGGGGAAUAUUGGGCAAUGGGCGAAAGCCUGACCCAGCAACGCCGCGUGAAGGAAGAAGGUUUUCGGAUCGUAAACUUCUAUCCUUGGUGAAGAUAAUGACGGUAGCCAAGAAGGAAGCCCCGGCUAACUACGUGCCAGCAGCCGCGGUAAUACGUAGGGGGCAAGCGUUGUCCGGAAUGAUUGGGCGUAAAGGGCGCGUAGGCGGCCCGGUAAGUCUGAAGUGAAAGUCCUGCUUUUAAGGUGGGAAUUGCUUUGGAUACUGUCGGGCUUGAGUGCAGGAGGGGUAAGCGGAAUUCCCGGUGUAGCGGUGAAAUGCGUAGAGAUCGGGAGGAACACCAGUGGCGAAGGCGGCUUACUGGACUGUAACUGACGCUGAGGCGCGAAAGUGUGGGGAGCAAACAGGAUUAGAUACCCCGGUAGUCC